CUCAGCUUUUCAAUGACAGACUUUCCAGCGAUUUUCCUCGGACUGAAUUUCUGUUGUCGACCUGGCCUGCCUCUGAUCUACCCGUCUUGCCUGACCCCCGGUAAACUCACCAGCCUUCUGUCCCUGACUGGGGAGGAUGUGUAACUUGAGACACAGCCUCAUGACAUAAUGAGUUGGUUAAGUUCUUUUUAUCUUUUAUUUCCCUUUUCAUUGAUUAAGCAGGAAUGCUGUUGUGGCCUUUGGGAUCAACUGAGGGUGGACCAUGGAGGAGAGUUUUAUCUCUCACUAUGCAUGCAGGAAAAACUCAGGGUACAGGUUUCGCCAAGACAGGGCACCAUAUCAGCAGACAGCAUCAACAAGUGUAUUUAAAAGUUUUUCUAACCAUUAUUUUUCUCAACAUGAUAUAUUAUGUGUUUGUGGAUAUGUAUUUUUCAGUACAGUAUAUAGCUCCCGUGUGUCUAUAUCUAUACAUGUUACUAGAUUAUAUCAGACAGUGGUUGUGAAAUUAUAUGUGUGAUGAGUAGGGCUCUCCCCUUCCUCUUGCCAGUGCAGCCACACCCCUUAAUCAGCCCAACUGAUAGCAGGUGAGUGCUAAUCACCACAGUCCCUUUAAAUGUAGCUGCAAGCAGCCUGCAGCAGGCUGGCCUUGCUCUCUCUACCUGACCGUCCUGGUGGAGCAAUAUUGUCCCGGUAAGGUGCGCACUGUCAUGGGUAUGAAGAAGUGGGUUUUUAGCACGGACUUAAGUAUUUUUUAUUCAUGUAGAUUGUUGCAGGAAGGAUCAGAGCCAUACGUGGACGCAGUGGCUGCUCUCCUCCCCUCCUUGUGCUGUGUAGCACGUAGUGCAUUUGUAUUCCAGAUCACAUGCAGACAGUAACCUGUAACUCUCAGGAAUGUGAUGAUGAUGGUGAUUGCUGCAUGACCUAAUUGCUGUAAGACAAUUGCCAAGGAGGAGCUCUGACCUACUGCUGUUUUUGUCCCUAUUUAAUUUACUUUGUAUAUUUUUGGGGUUAUUUUGCUUUAUUAUACUACCUGUGAGUGAUUUUUAUAUAGUUGUUGGUGCCAGUACAGGUGGGCUGCCAUAUUUCUGUAGGCGGUGAGUCACAUGGUGGAGGUCUUCCUUUUUGUCUGCUUCUCCCCUGCCUGUGUUUUGCAUGUAUAAUUUACGGCAUUUUGCAUGAUUAUUUUGAUUUUGUGUGAAACUUAUUGCGUGUCUUUUGUGUUGCAGUGCGUUUGACUUCCCUUUAUCCCGGCCUGGUGGUGGUUCCCCUCACUCACUCACUCACUCCCUCCUGCAGACUUCCCUGACACCCCCUCCCUUGUACUGGUAGCCGUUUUAGCCUGUCACUGUUGCGCAUUUUUAAGUAUUGUGUGCAUUAUUUUAUAUUUAAAUAAAAUCUCAUCUAUUUGUCUAUACCUGGAAAUGCACGUCUCUGCUCCUUUUUUAUUAAGAACCUAAAUAGUAAAUGUGUAUUUCCCUGGGUCAAACUCCCAGGGUGGCGUUGUCAUAUCCAGUGUCAGGGGCUUAUAGUUGCCCCGGUCACAUUUGCAUUUCUUUUCCCACAAUUUUUUCU